rnacentral:rRNA from 1 species
UACGAAGGGUGCAAGCGUUACUCGGAAUUACUGGGCGUAAAGCGUGCGUAGGCGGUUUGUUAAGUCCGCUGUGAAAGCCCUGGGCUCAACCUGGGAAUUGCAGUGGAUACUGGCAAGCUAGAGUGCGGUAGAGGAUGGUGGAAUUCCCGGUGUAGUGGUGAAAUGCGUAGAGAUCGGGAGGAACACCGGUGGCGAAGGCGGUUCUCUGGGCCUGUACUGACGCUGAGGAGCGAAAGCGUGGGGAGCGAACAGG